UUCUUCGUUAGCAAUUUCGAUUUCCUUUGAUCUGACGUUGAAGCUUUCGGACUUAUUUCCAGGUGUUUGGUUAAGAAGAGGAACCGAGCAAGAAGUAGCGAUUAACUUGGUGCUGAUUUGAGCAGAAACAUCUCAAGGCAUUUGAAGAAACAACAGGAGAACAAAUCAGCAAACCAAUUAAACAGUUACGACAUCAGAGUCUGUUCCAGCUUUUGAUCCUUUGGAGAACGAAAAGAAGAGCAAACUAGCUUACAUGACAGGCGGUUUAGGGGUGCCUUUUAUCGUAGGGAGAGAAGUGCAAACACACAGCGCUCUACUAAGGGUAAAAUGCGCCACUUAUCUGCUUGCCCUACAGGCUAAGAAAAAACGAGCAAGAUCCAUGGCAUGAGGAAGACAGAAAUCAGUCCUUGUUCAAGUAAGUAGCUUCUUGUUUUAAUUCCAUAUUUUCAUUUCCAAAAGACUGAGUGAUGAAAAUUUCAUCUCCCUUAACACGAAAUUGCCAAGCAGAAAAGUGACAACAGUGAUAAUUUAAUAAUAGAAACUGUAUCAUGGUGGAGAAUAACAUUCUAACUAGAGGAAUUCAUUUUUAUAUGUAGGUAAAGU